rnacentral:lncRNA from 1 species
AUGACUACAUGGCAGAGCAAAGAGACCUGGAUACACAGGGACACACACUUUAAUCAAAAGUUGUCAAGCAAUUUUCUUUUGGUUUUUGCACAGGGUAUAAAUCCUAAUAUCGUCUACUCCAUUUUGGGAAACGCUGCCUUUUCAGUCAUUGAUGGAUUCUUGUUCAUGACCACUGAGGUUGCUGCUGGAUCAUAUACUAUGGAGGUCAAAGCCACUGACACAAAACACAUUGAGGAAGCGACUGCUGGGCUCGUAGUGGAGGUGGUGGAAGACGUUGUGAUAAAACCUUCCGGAGGCUUCACAUCUGCGGAUAUGGCCAUCCUGGGAGCCACUCUCGGGGUCCUGUUGUUCAUUUGUAUUGUGGUGAUUGCGGUGUUCGCUGUGAAGAUCCGAAAAAGAGACUCUGACUGGAAGAAGAUCAACGAAGCCAGUGCCUUCAGGAGCUCACUGGGCCCGUCCGGUCAAAAGGAGGGUGUCCAGUUCACAAAUGAGGCUUUCCAACACGACGACCAUGGAGGUGGUCAUGGAAACGGCACUGUCCCAUCCGGACUGGAGACAGACAAACCCAAACCCAGGUCCAUCCCGAGACCCCCUUCCCCCAUACAGGACGACGAGAAAGAGGUGAAGCCCAUUCUAUCGAAGGACAAAUCCAAGGAGGACGGGUACAAGGCAGUUUGGUUCAAAGAGGACAUCGACCCCAACGCGAAAGAGGAGGUGUUGAUCAUCCCGGACAGCAGAGAAGACGAGGAAGACGGGGAGGAGGAUAGUGAGGGGGAGACGAAGAUCCCGAAAGUGAAGUUUAACGACAUAGACAGGGACAGUGGACUCGGGGUAAAACUGGAAGACUCGGAUGAGGAGAAGGCUAUGACGUCCAGCCUGUAAAAUGAAGCAAAGUGAGUGAUUAGACAAAUACAAGCAGGUUUUCUUACGCCAUUGACAUUAUUAUCUUUGUAAAAAUAAAAUUACAAAACUGCAUUUCUUAAACAAGGAUUUCUGCCGAGAGCCUAAAAAUUCAGUGCUUCACUUUUAAUUAUAGUUUAAAAGGUGGAAAUGGUAUUAUUAUGGCUACUACAACAAUAUGAAAUUCAAUAGUCUGAAUUUGAGGCAUUUGCAGGGUUUCAUAAUAGUAGCCUUCAGCAGGACCUAAUCUGACACUUUAUAACCAGUUGACAUGGUUAUAACAGUCAAAGCAGUAAAAACUCAGCCAAGACUUUACUGCAAAAGGAAACUGUUGUUUGAUACUUUCAGUAUAAUGUUUAACUCGAUGUUAUAUUUGUGGAACAUUUUAAAAACCACCACAAAACCAUAAUUAACUGAUUCUCCUGAUCAAUCUGUAACUGCAGCGUUGUUACUAAACUCAGUAAACUUAAUUUUAUUGCUUUAUGUCACAUAUGUAAAUCUAUUUGCUAUCUGUAAAUGUUUUUCACUCAGGAUUGAAAGUAGCCGAUGUAUAAUUUGAAUUAAAAGUGC